UACGUAGGGUGCAAGCGUUAAUCGGAAUUACUGGGCGUAAAGCGUGCGCAGGCGGUUUUGUAAGUCUGACGUGAAAUCCCCGGGCUUAACCUGGGAAUUGCGUUGGAGACUGCAAGGCUGGAGUCUGGCAGAGGGGGGUAGAAUUCCACGUGUAGCAGUGAAAUGCGUAGAGAUGUGGAGGAACACCGAUGGCGCAAGGCAGCCCCCUGGGUCAAGACUGACGCUCAUGCACGAA
rnacentral:rRNA from 1 species